UAAACAGGAAAACAUCCGAGCUCCUGGUGGAGGUUCUGAAGAAGAACCAGGUCCAAUUGACUAUCGACGUCUAAACUGCUUCAAACAAACAGACAGUUAGCUAGAACUCCGAAUUUAGCUAGCAUGCUGUCUGCAGCAUAUUGGCUAACAUUCAUUUGUCUUCAUGGA